AUACUUACCUGGCAGGGAAGAUACCAUGAUCACGAAGGUGGUUUUUCCCAGCGUGAGGCUCAUCGAUUGCACUCCGGAUGUGCUGACCCCUGAGAUAUUCCCAAAUGUGGAAAACUCGACUGCAUAAUUAGUUGUAGUGGGGGACUGCGUUCACGCUUUCCCCUG
ensembl:snRNA U1 U1 spliceosomal RNA